rnacentral:lncRNA from 1 species
UUGUGUUUUCGGAGCGUAUAAAUCAGUUAAAAACGCUCAGUAAUCGCCUGUUUAUCGUCGAUAAAUCCACCAGAAACACAAAUUCAGCGUCUGUAGGCAAAGAGGAGAGAAACCGAGCCUCCAGAAACUUCGAGUUAAUUCCUGCUUUGCAAACUCAACAAAACCACAGAGAAGCUGCACACUUGUAAAGAUGGCGUUUAUUAAAGAGGAGUGUGAGGACAUCAGGAUUGCAGAUGUUUUCACGCUGGUAAAAGAAGAGCCUGAGGAUCCAAUAGACCUGAUGCCACUGAAAAGGGAGAUUCAAGAAUAUCUGAUUGAGAACCAUAACGACUUCAUACCUACAGAAAGUGAAUUCAUUUGCUCGCAGACUAUGAUGAGCUCACAAAAGGCUGCUCAAACAACAAAGACCGCACAUCCUCUCAAAUGCGACCAGUGCGGGAGAGGUUUUACUAAAAAGGGACACCUCAGAAACCACAUGAGGACUCACAAUGGAGAGAGCUCUUUCACCUGCCAACAGUGUGGAAAAGGUUUCACUCAAAAGUCAAACCUCAGAAACCACAUCAAAAUUCAUAUCGCGAAAAACGCUUUGACCUGCCAACAGUGUGGCAAAUCUUUCAGUAAUAAAGACUACCUUAAACGACACAUGAGAGUUCACACUAUAGAGACUUCUCACACGUGCCCUCAAUGCGGAAAGAGUUUUGCAGACGAAUCGAUAUGUAUCGCCCACAUGAGCAGUCACACUGGAGAAAAACCAUUUGUGUGUGAUCAGUGUGGGAAGAGCUACACAAGUCGGAGUAACCUUAAAUACCACAUGAAUGUUCAUGCAAAUGAGAACAGUUUUAUGUGCCAUCACUGCGGAGUGCGUUUCAGAAGAAGCGCUCAACUG